GUCCAGGGAUGGGAAACGAACCCACAGUGUUCCGCUUACCGGGCAGAUGCCAUGUCCACUAGUCAACCCUGGA
rnacentral:tRNA from 1 species